ACGUUUUGCCUUGCCUUUCUAAUGGAAACCUUGACCUGAGCUCCUCCCUUGCUGCUGCCUGCUGUUUUCGCCCCCGUGGCCCUCUGCACUGGAUGCGGUGAAGACUCCCUCUCUAGAAUCUGUGCAUCUAACAUCUGGCCAGGCAGGCCCUGGUCACAACGCAGUUUUCCCAACUCCCAAAUGGUGGAUAUUUUCAAGUAAUGAGGAUUCUGGAGGAGGGUGGAGCUCUGUGAUGUCAGCAUCCACUUCCUGAAGGCUGUGGAUCUGCUUUCCCAGGCAACGUGCAUUACCUUCUUCUGCAGGUUGGUCUUCAGGAAACAAUG
rnacentral:lncRNA from 12 species